CCCAUGGCUCUGAGCACCAAAGGGAUGCUGCUCCUCAGAAGGUCCCCAAAGCAGCAGCCCCCCCAAAAAACCAUCUUUGACCCUUGGAAAUGGGGAUGGACGUGGUGGGCAGGGAUGCUGGGGCUCUCUGCUCCUCUCCCAGUGGGAAUUGGGGACCUUGGAGGAGCAGAUGGGGUUGUCCCCUCUCCCUGGCACGUCAAAACCCCUUUAUUUUCCAGUUGUUGCCCCUUGAGCUCCGUCCCCCCCAAAAAAAA
rnacentral:lncRNA from 1 species